rnacentral:tRNA from 1 species
GUGGAGGUAUUGUAAAUGGAAACAUACCAGGUUCAUGCCCUGACGAUGUAGGUUCGAGUCCUGCCCUCCUGA